rnacentral:snRNA from 1 species
AGCUUUGUGCAGUGGCAGUAUCAUAGCCUAUGAGGUUUAUCUGAGGCAUGAUUGUUGCUAAUUGUUAA